rnacentral:tRNA from 1 species
UUAAUUGAAACCAAAAAGAGGUUUAUCACUGUUAAUGAUACCAUUGAAAUUAAAUUUCCAAUUAAA